CGGAAUUACUGGGCGUAAAGCGCAUGCAGGCGGCCUGUAAGUCAGAUGUGAAAGCCCGGGGCUUAACCUCGGAAUUGCAUUUGAAACUGGCAGGCUAGAGUCUUGUAGAGGGGGUAGAAUUUCAGGUGUAGCGGUGAAAAUGCGUAGAGAUCUGAAGGAAUACCAGUGGCGAAGGGCGGCCCCCUGGACAAAGACUGACGCUCCAGAUGCGAAAGCGUCGGGGAGCAAACAGGAUUACGAUACCCUGGUAG
rnacentral:rRNA from 1 species